UACGUAGGGGGCAAGCGUUGUCCGGAUUUAUUGGGCGUAAAGAGCGUGUAGGCGGCCAUGCAGGUCAGCUGUGAAAACUCGAGGCUCAACCUCGAGACGUCGGUUGAAACCGUAUGGCUAGAGUCCGGAAGAGGAGAGUGGAAUUCCCGGUGUAGCGGUGAAAUGCGCAGAUAUCGGGAAGAACACCUAUGGCGAAGGCAGCUCUCUGGGACGGUACUGACGCUGAGACGCGAAAGCGUGGGGAGCAAACCGG
rnacentral:rRNA from 1 species